rnacentral:rRNA from 1 species
GAUGAACGCUGGCGGCGUGCCUAAUACAUGCAAGUCGAGCGAACAGAUAAGGAGCUUGCUCCUUUGACGUUAGCGGCGGACGGGUGAGUAACACGUGGAUAACCUACCUAUAAGACUGGGAUAACUUCGGGAAACCGGAGCUAAUACCGGAUAACAUAUUGAACCGCAUGGUUCAAUAGUGAAAGGCGGCUUUGCUGUCACUUAUAGAUGGAUCCGCGCCGUAUUAGCUAGUUGGUAAGGUAACGGCUUACCAAGGCAACGAUACGUAGCCGACCUGAGA